ensembl:ncRNA Y42H9B.6 ncRNA
AAUCAGUCUCCCACAUUCAUUCCAUUCAAACCGUCACCAAUGGUGCUCGCGCAUUCUCAAUAGUUUGCUCAAUUCGAACAUGAGAAGCUGAUUAUAUGGAGGUCUCACUCCUUCAUUGUCUGACUGCACUCUCU